UAAAGCGGUACGCGAGCUGGGUUCAGAACGUCGUGAGACAGUUCGGUCCCUAUCCGUCGUGGGCGUAGGAAAUUUGAGAGGAGCUGUCCUUAGUACGAGAGGACCGGGAUGGACAUACCUCUGGUGUACCAGUUGUCGUGCCAACGGCAUAGCUGGGUAGCUAUGUGUGGACGGGAUAAGUGCUGAAAGCAUCUAAGCAUGAAGCCCCCCUCAAGAUGAGAUUUCCCAACUUCGGUUAUAAGAUCCCUCAAAGAUGAUGAGGUUAAUAGGUUCGAGGUGGAAGCAUGGUGACAUGUGGAGCUGACGAAUACUAA
rnacentral:rRNA from 1 species